rnacentral:rRNA from 1 species
GAUGAACGCUGGCGGCGUGCCUAAUACAUGCAAGUCGAGCGAACAGAUAAGGAGCUUGCUCCUUUGACGUUAGCGGCGGACGGGUGAGUAACACGUGGGUAACCUACCUAUAAGACUGGAAUAACUCCGGGAAACCGGGGCUAAUGCCGGAUAACAUUUAGAACCGCAUGGUUCUAAAGUGAAAGAUGGUUUUGCUAUCACUUAUAGAUGGACCCGCGCCGUAUUAGCUAGUUGGUAAGGUAAUGGCUUACCAAGGCAACGAUACGUAGCCGACCUGAGAGGGUGAUCGGCCACACUGGAACUGAGACACGGUCCAGACUCCUACGGGAGGCAGCAGUAGGGAAUCUUCCGCAAUGGGCGAAAGCCUGACGGAGCAACGCCGCGUGAGUGAUGAAGGUCUUCGGAUCGUAAAACUCUGUUAUUAGGGAAGAACAAAUGUGUAAGUAACUGUGCACGUCUUGACGGUACCUAAUCAGAAAGCCACGGCUAACUACGUG